rnacentral:rRNA from 1 species
GGGCACGACACCGGAGAGGGAGCCUGAGAAACGGCUACCACAUCCGAGGAUGGCUGCAGGCGCGCAAAUUACCCAAUCCCGAUACGGGGAGGUAGUGACAAUAAAUAACAAUACGGGGUCCUUUCGGGUUUCGUAAUUGGAAUGAGUACAAUUUAAAUCUCUUAACGAGGAACAAUUGGAGGGCAAGUCUGGUGCCAGCAGCCGCGGUAAUUCCAGCUCCAAUAGCGUAUAUUAAAGUUGUUGCAGUUAAAAAGCUCGUAGUUGAAUUUCGGGAUCAGUACGCUGGUCAUGCCUUUGGUAUGUACUGGUGUUACUGGUUCCUACCUUCUGACGAACCGUCAUGUCAUUUAUUUGGUGUGGCGGGGAAUCAGGACUGUUACUUUGAAAAAAUUAGAGUGUUUAAAGCAGGCUCGCGCUUGAAUACAUUAGCAUGGAAUAAUGAAAUAGGACGUUUGAUCCUAUUUUGUUGGUUUCUAUGAUUGACGUAAUGAUUAAUAGGGAUAGUUGGGGGCAUUAGUAUUCAAUUGUCAGAGGUGGAAUUCUUGGAUUUAUUGAAGACUAACUACUGCGAAAGCAUUUGCCAAGGAUGUUUUCAUUAAUCAA